UACGUAGGGGGCAAGCGUUGUCCGGAAUUAUUGGGCGUAAAGAGCGCGUAGGCGGUCCGGUAAGUCAGCUGUGAAAGUCAAGGGCUCAACCCUUGAAAGCCGGCUGAUACUGCCGGACUAGAGUCCGGAAGAGGCGAGUGGAAUUCCCGGUGUAGCGGUGAAGUGCGCAGAUAUCAGGAAGAACACCAAUGGCGAAGGCAGCUCUCUGGGACGGUACUGACGCUGAGACGCGAAAGCGUGGGGAGCGAACAGG
rnacentral:rRNA from 1 species